rnacentral:ncRNA from 3 species
UAAUAUAUAUAAGCGGCUGGGCAGAAGUUCUGCUACGAGGCGAGAGUCAUCGAGUUAUCAGCGGAUACUCUCAGGUUGUAUUACCAACCUAAAUAUUACUUACAAAUUAACAAAGUAGUAAUUAGUAAUUUCC